rnacentral:rRNA from 1 species
UGGGGAAUUUUGGGCAAUGGGCGCAAGCCUGACCCAGCAACGCCGCGUGAGGGAUGAAGGCCCUCGGGUCGUAAACCUCUGUCAGGGGGAACGAACUGGUCCUGGCCAAUACUCAGGACAGCUGACGGUACCCCCAAAGGAAGCGCCGGCUAACUCCGUGCCAGCAGCCGCGGUAAUACGGAGGGCGCAAGCGUUGUUCGGAAUUACUGGGCGUAAAGAGCGUGUAGGCGGUUGGGAAAGUCGGUUGUGAAAUCCCCGGGCUCAACCCGGGAACUGCAUCCGAAACUUCCGAGCUAGAGUCCCGGAGAGGAAGGCAGAAUUCCCAGUGUAGGGGUGAAAUCCGUAGAUACUGGGAGGAAUACCAGAGGCGAAGGCGGCCUUCUGGACGGUGACUGACGCUGAGACGCGAAAGCGUGGGGAGCAAACAGGAUUAGAUACCCGCGUAGUCC